rnacentral:rRNA from 1 species
CGCAUCUGUGCAUGCAGCAUAUCAAUAAGCGGAGGAAAAGAAACUAACAAGGAUUCCCCUAGUAACGGCGAGUGAAGCGGGAAGAGCUCAAAUUUGAAAUCUUAAAGGGUUUCCCUUUACGAAUUGUAGUUUAAAGAAGUGCUUUUCUGUUGAGGUUUUGGUAAAAGUUCUUUGGAAUAGGACAUCAUAGAGGGUGAGUAUCCCGUAUUUGACCUUUACUUUCAACUUUGUGAUACACUUUCAAAGAGUCGGAUUGUUUGGGAAUGCAGUCCAAAAUGGGUGGUAAAUUUCAUCUAAAGCUAAAUAUUGGCGAGAGACCGAUAGCGAACAAGUACCGUGAGGGAAAGAUGAAAAGAACUUUGAAAAGAGAGUUAAACAGUACGUGAAAUUGUCAAAAGGGAAGCGUUUGACACCAGUGUUGUUUUUCUGAAAAUCAAUUAAAGAACUGUUUAUGCUAAGCUUGUUUAGACUUUAUCAGCUAUCUGUUUAGUUUUGAGCUUUUCUUUAAUGCACUUUUCAGUUAACAAGUCAACAUCAAUUUCUUUUGCUGUAAAAAAGCUUGAGGGAAGGUGGCUUGAGAUUCGUCUUAAGUGUUUAUAGCCUCUUGCCUAUGCAGUCGGAGAGAUUGAGGUCUGCAGCGUAGAUCCUUCGGGGCUAAAUGCAUUUGUGCUAAGUUAUAGCAUUUUCAUAGACAACUUGUUGACUAUGAUUUGUCUUGUAGCUUACUCGCUUAUGUUAUUUUACCUACGCUUAGGAUGUUGACAGCAGUAUAGACUGU